CGGACGGGUGAGGAACACGUACGUGACCUGCCCCAAAGCGGGGGAUACCCAUCCGAAAGGAUGGCUAAGACCGCAUGUGGUCUCCAUGCCGCGGUGUGGAGAGUAAAGCCCGGAAGGGCGCUUUGGGAGGGGCGUGCGGCGGAUUAGCUAGCUGGUGGGGUAACGGCCCACCAGGGCGACGAUCCGUAGCUGGUCUGAGAGGACGGCCAGCCACACGGGGACUGAGACACGGCCCCG
rnacentral:rRNA from 1 species